UAACCUGCCCAAGAGAUCGGGAUAACACCUGGAAACAGAUGCUAAUACCGGAUAACAACAGAUGAUGCCUAUCAACUGUUUAAAAGAUGGUUCUGCUAUCACUCUUGGAUGGACCUGCGGUGCAUUAGCUAGUUGGUAGGGUAACGGCCUACCAAGGCGAUGAUGCAUAGCCUAGUUGAGAUACUGAUCGGCCACAUUGGGACUGAGACACGGCCCAAACUCCUACGGGAGGCAGCAGCC
rnacentral:rRNA from 1 species